rnacentral:rRNA from 1 species
AGUGUGACGGGGUUACCCAAAGUGUUCAAUUUUGAACUGUGGUAGGUGAGUAAUGUUCCCUACUAGAAAGGAGAGGGCAAGGCUGGUGCCAGCCGCCGCGGUAAAACCAGCUCUUCAAGUGGUCGGGAUAAUUAUUGGGCUUAAAGUGUCCGUAGCCGGUUUAGUAAGUUCCUGGUAAAAUCGGGUAGCUUAACUAUCUAUAUGCUAGGAAUACUACUAUACUAGAGGGCGGGAGAGGUCUGAGGUACUACAGGGGUAGGGGUGAAAUCUUAUAAUCCUUGUUGGACCACCAGUGGCGAAGGCGUCAGACUGGAACGCGCCUGACGGUGAGGGACGAAAGCCAGGGGAGCGAACCGGAUUAGAUACCCGGGUAGUCCUGGCCGUAAACGAUGCAUACUAGGUGAUGGCACGGCCAUGAGCCGUGUCAGUGCCGUAGGGAAACCGUUAAGUGUGCCGCCUGGGAAGUACGGUCGCAAGG